UGCACAGAUUAUUGUAUUCGACUGUAUUCACGGAGUGAAGAGGAUUAUACUAUUUUUUAACGGAAAGUGAAUCAAUUAACAUAAUAGACUCCU
rnacentral:pre_miRNA from 1 species